CAAUGGUUUAUCGUUGCUUACAGAUAUAUUUAUUGAAUUCCUGUCUAUAUCCUACCUUUCCAACUUCUCACCUACAUCAGUGACUGCACCCGUCCCCAUUAUGUUACUUUUUCUUUUCUUUAUUAUAUUAAAUAUUUUUUUCAAGAUUAAGAGCCCUGGGGCAGUGUUCUAGUGUCGACGACUCGACAAUGGCGUUUCGAACGAAAAUUGAUUGUUCUUGGUGUCAUUCGACGUUCGUCGAGACAUACAUGG